CCUGGGAGAGCGCGUGCUUUGCAAGCAUGAGGUCGUCGGUUCGAUCCCGUCUGGCUCCACCAGAUGGUUUGAUCACCGAGAUCUUGACCGUCGUCCGCGAAACAUCACUUCGCAUCCUGCUAGUCUGGAUAGACAGCAGUUUGCGUGUUUUCUGACAUCGUAAAGAGGAGAUCGAUCCGAGUUGGGUCGUGCAGCAUAUCGUUGCGCGAGCCUUCAUUAUCUCCGGAUCAUUUCGGCGCUCGCUUCCAGCCGUGAGGUUGGAUGCGGGUUGUAAAUGAUCCUUUUAGCGAAGCUUGACCGCCUCGCUAUCGGAACGAUCUUACGAAGCAAGCUGGUCUUUCUAGUCAAUGUCCGGCUGCGGAUAGCGUUCAUCGAGGGCGCGUGCCGCAAGGCAAUUCUGCAGACAACAUUCUGCCGAGUGUGUGGACAUUGAUAAUGAGAGCAAUCAAGUGCCUUAAGGGUGUUCGGUGGAUGCCUUGGCGCUGAGAGGCGAUGAAGGACGUGCUACGCUGCGAUAAGCCGUGGGGAGCUGCGAAGAAGCUUUGAUCCGCGGAUUUCCGAAUGG
rnacentral:misc_RNA from 1 species